GCGUCGGUGGUUCAGAGGUAGUAUACUCGCCUGCCACGCGGGUGGCCCGGGUUCGAUUCCCGGCCGACGCA
rnacentral:tRNA from 1 species